CAUGCAGUAGAACGCAUGAAGAGAGGAGCUUGCUCUUCUUGGAUGAGUUGCGAACGGGUGAGUAACGCGUAGGUAACCUGCCUGGUAGCGGGGGAUAACUAUUGGAAACGAUAGCUAAUACCGCAUAAAAUUGAUUAUCGCAUGAUACUUAAUUGAAAGAUGCAAUUGCAUCACUACCAGAUGGACCUGCGUUGUAUUAGCUAGUUGGUGAGGUAACGGCUCACCAAGGCGACGAUACAUAGCCGACCUGAGAGGGUGAUCGGCCACACUGGGACUGAGACACCGGCCCAGACUCCUACGGGAGGCAGCAGUAGGGAAUCUUCGGCAAUGGGGGGAACCCUGACCGAGCAACGCCGCGUGAGUGAAGAAGGUUUUCGGAUCGUAAAGCUCUGUUGUAAGAGAAGAACGGGUGUGAGAGUGGAAAGUUCACACUGUGACGGUAUCUUACCAGAAAGGGACGGCUAACUACGUGCCAGCAGCCGCGGUAAUACGUAGGUCCCGAGCGUUGUCCGGAUUUAUUGGGCGUAAAGCGAGCGCAGGCGGUUAGAUAAGUCUGAAGUUAAAGGCUGUGGCUUAACCAUAGUAUGCUUUGGAAACUGUUUAACUUGAGUGCAGAAGGGGAGAGUGGAAUUCCAUGUGUAGCGGUGAAAUGCGUAGAUAUAUGGAGGAACACCGGUGGCGAAAGCGGCUCUCUGGUCUGUAACUGACGCUGAGGCUCGAAAGCGUGGGGAGCAAACAGGAUUAGAUACCCUGGUAGUCCACGCCGUAAACGAUGAGUGCUAGGUGUUAGGCCCUUUCCGGGGCUUAGUGCCGCAGCUAACGCAUUAAGCACUCCGCCUGGGGAGUACGACCGCAAGGUUGAAACUCAAAGGAAUUGACGGGGGCCCGCACAAGCGGUGGAGCAUGUGGUUUAAUUCGAAGCAACGCGAAGAACCUUACCAGGUCUUGACAUCCCUCUGACCGCUCUAGAGAUAGAGUUUUCCUUCGGGACAGAGGUGACAGGUGGUGCAUGGUUGUCGUCAGCUCGUGUCGUGAGAUGUUGGGUUAAGUCCCGCAACGAGCGCAACCCCUAUUGUUAGUUGCCAUCAUUGAGUUGGGCACUCUAGCGAGACUGCCGGUAAUAAACCGGAGGAAAGGGUGGGGAAUGACGUCAAAUCAUCAUGCCCCUUAUGACCUGGGCUACACACGUGCUACAAUGGCUGGUACAACGAGUUCGCCAAGCCGGGUGUAACGGGCAAGCUAAUCUCUGAAAGCCAGUCUCAGUUCGGAUUGUAGGCUGCAACUCGCCUACAUGAAGUCGGAAUCGCUAGUAAUCGCGGAUCAGCACGCCGCGGUGAAUACGUUCCCGGGCCUUGUACACACCGCCCGUCACACCACGAGAGUUUGUAACACCCGAAGUCGGUGAGGUAACCGUAAGGAGCCAGCCGCCUAAGGU
rnacentral:rRNA from 1 species